rnacentral:misc_RNA from 1 species
UCUUUUUUUUCUUUUUUUUUUUUUGCGUGGGGAGGGGAAAAUGCUAUUACGCAUGCCCAGUGACCCGCAUCACUGGGUUAUGUGGGAGUCGGUCGGAUGCCGUUGCCAUACCCACUAAAAACCCCUCCUCCUUCUUCCUCCGCUUUGGGGGCAGACAACCCCGGUAAAACCUGUCGGCAGUCAUCAGAGUUGUCCAUUCGUGCCCGGCAAUAUACAUUGUCGCCAAGGUCGCCAUGUGUAAUGUUCAAGUAUCGGCUGUCUGUAGAAUGUUUAGAAGUGGUCGCCUAAGGUGACAUCAGGGCAAAAGAGUUUGGGGUUACA